rnacentral:lncRNA from 1 species
AAAUGUCUGAGGUUGAUUUUGUUAAAUAACAAAUACUGUUUCGUAAGCGCGUGUAUUAUUUGGGGUUUUCGGUAUUUGCUAAAUAGUAGGAAAUAUAAGUGGUUUGUGUUAAUUUGGUGUUUGCAAAGCAUAUAUUAAAUAAAAAUCACAUUUACUUUACCUCCACUAUAUUUUAGUGUUUUAAAGUUAACACAUUUUCUUAUAACCAAAUAAAAUCAAAGACUUCCUAUAUUAUUAUAUUUAAUUUUUUUUAUCAUACUCUUUUUUAGUUUGAUUUAGGAAAUUAAUUCAUGGUUUCUAAGUUUGUGUAUUAAUUAGUACAACCUAACAAAUUCGUCACUAUCCAAAUAUAUUAGAAGAAACAUCUAAACUUGUACGUGGGCUAUUAAAUUGUAAACUAAUGUUACCGCUUAUAGUUGGGUUUUGAUUCAGCUUGCUUACAAUUAUGAUUUGAGGUUAAAACCAAUAUAAAAAUCUAAGCUAAAAUUACUCUUACCGAUUGUUCUGCAACUUAAAAGCCAAACAGUUGAAAGGUGUAAGUGUAUAUUUGAUAUGAGAGACUUACAACAGAUUUUUAUUUUACUUUGGUUUUCAUACAAAUUUUGGAAGAGCAUAAGACAAUAACUGAUAAUCACAUAUAUAUGCCAAGAUAAGUUUUAAUGUCUACUCUUGAGUAAACUUCAAAUGAGUAUAUUGUAGAUGGUUUUUUGUGGAGUUUAUUAUUAGAUCCCUUAUUAUUUUUUCCGAUUUUAGGUGACUACAUGACCUUGGUUGCUACUAACACAAUAAGUAAAGGAAGGAACGAUUUUAUCAAAUCUUUGCAUCGACGGGAAACAUGAGGUUAGUUCCCUCUAUUAACAUACAAUCAGUUUUGUAAUUUUGGUAGAACUUAAUAUUAUUCAAUUAGAGAGAAAUUAGCCAUAACUCAAAAUCUUAUUCGAUGAAAGUUUAGAAAUAAUCAAAUAUAUUACUGGUAAUUGAGAAAUAUGGAAUUAUAACAAGUGAAAUGAAAAUGGCUAAAAAACAUUGUUCCUAAAAAAAUUAAUAUUCAAAAAACCCUCUUGCGAAACAUACUUCCUUGUAGGAAUUAUAGAACACACCAUUGUAGGACCUCAAAUCUUGGUCAGAAGUUGGACCUUUAAAAAGCUUGAAUAGGAGUUUGAGACUUGUUGCACAAUCUAACUUACUUGAAACAAAUCGAAGUGAUUACCGAACUAAAAAAGAAGCACACAUUUAAUCAUUGCUAUAAGUUGUUUCAAUUCAAAAAAUUACCCUUAAUUAGUUUCGAAGGAAAAUACUUUUGUAAAUUGAGAAGGGUAAUUUACAUCACUUUUGGACAAAAAAUAAAAUGAUCCGACCCGUCUAGCUAUUAUCCUCGCAUUCACCCAUUGUAAAGUGGGUACCUAUCAACCAGUGUUCGAUCUUCAACAAAAACGUUUUACUAACACUAAAAUAUAUUUUUCUCCUACCGUGACUAUUUACUAUUAAACUAUACCGGGCUGGGUUCUCUUAUAUUUUUGCCUGAAUGCCAAGC